rnacentral:rRNA from 1 species
AGAGUUUGAUCCUGGCUCAGAACGAACGCUUGCGGCGUGCUUAACACAUGCAAGUCGAACGAGAAAGGGGACUUCGGUUCCUGAGUAAAGUGGCGCACGGGUGAGUAACGCGUAGAUAAUCUACCCUAGUGUACGGGACAACAUCGGGAAACUGGUGCUAAUACCGAAUACGCUUCUUUAGAUGCGAAUUUUAAGAAGGAAAGGUGGCCUCUUCAUGAAAGCUACUGCACAAGGAUGAGUCUGCGUACCAUUAGCUAGUUGGUGGGGUAAUGGCCUACCAAGGCUUCGAUGGUUAGCGGGUCUGAGAGGAUGAUCCGCCACACUGGCACUGGAACACGGGCCAGACUCCUACGGGAGGCAGCAGUGAGGAAUUUUGCACAAUGGGGGCAACCCUGAUGCAGCGAC